rnacentral:misc_RNA from 1 species
GUCAUCAUCAUGUACUUCUGUUGAAAAUUAAAUUAUUUAAUUGGUUCGAUUUUUUUGGAUCCAAAAGUCCUCCACUUUUCCUCUUUAUAACACUAAAGAAACAGAGCUAAAAGAAAAGAAAAUGGAGGGUGCUGAAAUGCAAGACUUCAUCGAGGUAUGGCUUGAAGUCAUCAUUUCUUUGUGUUAUUGCUAUGCAAUUAGAAACAUUAUUCCU